rnacentral:lncRNA from 1 species
UUGCCUCUACACAAGGCGUACCCCGUCAUCUCUGCUGCAUCGGCCAAAGCUGGCAACGCAUCAGCUGAUGAGGCGUAAGUUGAUGUACAUUAUUGCUGAUAAUAAUCAAUCACUGGAAUCCUAUUGCUGCUUGUUUUUUUUUCAUCAAGAAAUGUUGUGAAAAAUGUAGCUUGCUCUGCAAAUCUGGCACCUUGAAUCCACGGAAGGCGAAAGGGAAGUUUUGGUGUGCCUACGAGGGGACAACGCGAGAGUUGACAAGGGCGAGCAAGCUGCCUUGGCUGGUGCAGUAGGGAUGGUUUUAGCUAACAAUGAGGCUUCUGGUAAUAAAAUCCUUGCUGAUCCUCGUGUUCUCCCUGCAUCACACAUCAACUUUUCCGAUGGCCUCGCCCUUUUCUCUUCACACAUCAACUUUUCCGAUGGCCUCGCCCUUUUCUCCUACAUCAACUCAACGAGGUUCGAAUCAUGAAUCAUGAAUCAUGGAUCCUAUUGAAAGCUUUUUCUGACAUGGAGAAGUUCUUGCUUUCUUUGACCUUUCGAAAGCUUCUGGGAACUAUUAUGACUUGUGGAUUUUGAAUGUAGGAUUCUCUAUGAAAAAUACUAUUAUGGUGUAGCUUUUUAGAUGUUCAUUAUGGUGUUGGGAGAUGUUGUAAAACAAUGGAUCUUAUUUUGUGGAUGUUGGAUUAUUAGUUGUUAUCAAUGUUUAAAUGAGCAUUUUUAGUA